rnacentral:rRNA from 1 species
UACGUAGGGGGCUAGCGUUGUCCGGAUUUAUUGGGCGUAAAGAGCGUGUAGGCGGCCUGGUAGGUCUGCUGUGAAAACUCGAGGCUCAACCUCGAGAUGUCGGCGGAAACCAUCUGGCUAGAGUCCGGAAGAGGAGAGUGGAAUUCCUGGUGUAGCGGUGAAAUGCGCAGAUAUCAGGAAGAACACCCGUGGCGAAGGCGGCUCUCUGGAACGCAACUGACGCUGAGACGCGAAAGCGUGGGGAGCAAACAGG